AUGCCUCGAACGCACCGCACCACGCGAGGAAAAAAACCACCGCAUCGCCCCGCGCGUGAAAAAAAAACAGCCAGGAUGCAGCGCACCACGCGAGGAAAAAACCACCGCACCGCGCGAGGGACGCACUCGACGGCCGUGCCGUCUCUUUCCUCCCCGCGCCGCCUGCCCCGGAUCUGGAGGAAGAGGAGGGAGGCAGGAUCUGGAGGAGGAAGAGGAGAUCCGGGCAUCCCGGCGGUGGCUCGACCGAUGCGAGGUGACGACGAGCUAAUGAGUGCCUCUUCGACUCCUUCCUCCGUCCUCGCCGCUGCCGCCGCUCCGACUCCUCUCUCCGUGCUCGCCGCCGCUGCCGCCUCUAUUUACGUCCUGCGGGAUGACGCCGCAGCUCCGUCUGACCGACCCUCAUGGAGGCGGUGCUGCCGGCCAUGA
rnacentral:rRNA from 1 species